rnacentral:rRNA from 1 species
GACGAACGCUGGCGGCGGGCUUAACACAUGCAAGUCGAACGAGAAAAGGACCUUCGGGUCCUGAGUAAAGUGGCGCACGGGUGAGUAACGCGUAGGCAAUUUGCCCUCAGCUGGGGAAUAACCUCGGGAAACCGAGGCUAAUACCACAUAAUGUCGGAGAACCGCAUGGUUCACCGAUCAAAGCUUCAGCGGCUGAGGAUAAGCCUGCGUUGGAUUAGCUAGUCGGUGAGGUAAUAGCUCACCAAGGCUACGAUCCAUAGCGGGUCUGAGAGGAUGAUCCGCCACACUGGCACUGAGACGCGGGCCAG